UGUUAAGUACAGGCAUAUGGUUGUGCUGCCGUCACCACCAUCAUCUCCAUCACUGUUCUCAUCUUCUCCAACUGAAGCUCUGGCCUCACUAAACAACAACACAGCAUCCACCCUCCACCUCUGUGGCUUGGACUUCCAGCACUAUGUUGAAUACAUAUGAUGACCGCAGACAUCCUUGAUUUGUUCCUGAUCUGAAGAAAAACACUUUUGCCUUUUGUCCAUGGAGUAUGAUGUUGGCGAUAGGUUUGUCCUACAUGAUCUUCAUUAUGUUGAGGUGCGUUCCCUCUAUUCACACUUUGCUGAGAGUUGUUAUAAUGAAUGCGUGCUGAGUUUUGUUGAAUACUCUUUCUGCAUCUAUUGUCAUAACCGUGUGAUUUUUAUUCUUUAUUUUGUUUAUGCUGUAUCAUGUUCUUUAUGUGCAGAUACUGUACCAAGAUUACAUGCCUGGAAUAAAUCCCACCUUUUAAUGUG